rnacentral:misc_RNA from 1 species
UACGAGUGCCUCAAGCGUUACCCGGAUUUACUGGGCGUAAAGGGUGUGUAGGUGGAUAUGUUAGUCCUCUGUUAAAGACUCGGGCUCAACCUGAGAAGUGCGGAGGAAACGGCAUAUCUAGAGGAUGCAAGAGGUCUAUGGAACUCAUGGUGUAGGGGUGAAAUCCGUUGAUAUCAUGGGGAACACCGAAAGCGAAGGCAGUAGGCUGGUGCAUUCCUGACACUGAGACACGAAAGCGUGGGUAGCGAAUGGG